GAUGAACGCUGGCGGCGUGCCUAACACAUGCAAGUCGAACGAACAGACGAGGAGCUUGCUCGUUUGACGUUAGCCGCGCGGGUGUGUGUAACACGUGGAAAAUCUCCCUAUAUGACUGGGAAAACUUCGGGAAACGGGCUCUUAUACCGGAUAAUCUAUUGAACCGCAUGGGGCAGUAGUGAAAGACGGUUUUGCUGUCAGUUAUAGAUGCAUCCGCGCCGCAUGUGCUAGUUGGUAAGGUAAAGGCGUACCAAGGCAACGAUGCGUAGCCGACCUGCGAGGGUGAGCGGCCAACCGGUAACUGAGAGACGGUGCAGACUCCUACAGGAGGCAGGGGGACGGAAGUUUCGACUAUGGGCCAAUGCCUGAAGGAGCAACGCAGCGUGGGUGAUGAAGGUCUUGGGAUCGUAAAACUCUGUUACUAGGGAAGAAAAAAUGUGUAAGUAACUAUGCACGUCUUGACGGUACCGAAUAAGAAAGCCACGGCUAACUACGUG
rnacentral:rRNA from 1 species